rnacentral:rRNA from 1 species
CCUACGGGAGGCAGCAGUGGGGAAUAUUGGACAAUGGGGGAAACCCUGAUCCAGCGACGCCGCGUGAGUGAAGAAGUAUUUCGGUAUGUAAAGCUCUAUCAGCAGGAAAGAAAAUGACGGUACCUGACUAAGAAGCCCCGGCUAACUACGUGCCAGCAGCCGCGGUAAUACGUAGGGGGCAAGCGUUAUCCGGAUUUACUGGGUGUAAAGGGAGCGUAGACGGCAGCGCAAGUCUGGAGUGAAAGGCCGGGGCCCAACCCCGGAACUGCUCUGGAAACUGUUGAGCUGGAGUGCAGGAGAGGUAAGCGGAAUUCCUGGUGUAGCGGUGAAAUGCGUAGAUAUCAGGAGGAACACCGGCGGCGAAGGCGGCUUACUGGACUGUAACUGACGUUGAGGCUCGAAGGCGUGGGGAGCAAACAGGAUUAGAUACCCUUGUAGUC